AACAUCGUCAAAAGAAUUUUUAUACAGCCGAGACGUCUCGCGUUCAAGCGGAGACGUCUCCGGAGCGCCUGGGACGCGACUGACACACUUUUGCAGGUUUGUUUGAAUUUCAAAUGGCUAUUUUUUUGUGUCUAACAGAUCUAUUGCUUGUAGGGCUAUAAAAAGGAGCUUUUAAGUGCCUUCAAACAACUUCUCACCAACCAAACACAAGAUCAUUCAAG
rnacentral:lncRNA from 1 species